rnacentral:rRNA from 1 species
UACGGGGGGAGCAAGCGUUGUUCGGAUUUACUGGGCGUAAAGGGCGCGUAGGCGGUCAGCACAAGUCAGUUGUGAAAUCUCCGGGCUUAACUCGGAAAGGUCAACUGAUACUGUGCGACUAGAGUGCAGAAGGGGCAACUGGAAUUCUCGGUGUAGCGGUGAAAUGCGUAGAUAUCUGGAGGAACACCGGUGGCGAAGGCGGGUCUCUGGGCCGUAACUGACGCUGAGGAGCGAAAGCUAGGGGAGCAAACGGG